GGCCUUUUGAUGAUAAUUUAAGGUCUGACCUGCCCAAUGAUGUAGUAUUAAAUGGCCGCGGUAUUUUGACCGUGCAAAGGUAGCAUAAUCAUUAGUUUUUUAAUUGAAAGCUUGUAUGAAAGGUUUAAUGAAAAAAUAGCUGUCUCUAUUUAAAUUUUUUAGAAAUUUAUUUUUAAGUUAAAAAGCUUAAAUGGACAUUAAAGACGAGAAGACCCUAUAGAGUUUUAUAGUUUUAAGGAGUUAUUAUAUUUUAGGAUUUUUUAAUGAUUUUUUAAGACUAUUUGGUUGGGGUGAUUGAAAAAUUAGUAAAACUUUUUUAUUAUAAAUUUCACUGAUUUGUGAAUUUUUGAUCUUUAUUAAAGAUUAAUAGAUAAAAUUACCUUAGGGAUAACAGCGUAAUUUUUUUUAGAGUUCUUAUCAAAGAAAAAGAUUGCGACCUCGAUGUUGGAUUAAGAUAAAUUGUUGGUGUAGAAGCUGACAAAUUGGGUCUGUUCGACCUUUAGAUUUUUACAUGAUCUGAGUUUAAACCGGUGUGAG
rnacentral:rRNA from 1 species